rnacentral:rRNA from 1 species
UACGGGGGGGGGUAAGCGUUGUUCGGGAAUUACUGGGCGUAAAGGGCUCGUAGGCGGCCAACUAAGUCAUACGUGAAAUCCCUCACUUAACUGGGGGAAUGCGUGUGAUACUGGAUGGCUUGGAUUUGGGGAGAGGGAUGCGGAAUUCCAGGUGUAGCGGUUGAAAAUGCGUAGAUAUCUGGAGGAACACCGGGUGGCGAAGGCGGCAUCCUGGGAC